rnacentral:tRNA from 1 species
GUGGGUAUAGCUCAGUCGGUUAGAGCGCUAGAUUGUGGCUCUAGAGGUCUCCGGUUCGAUUCCGGAUAUCCACCCCA